rnacentral:rRNA from 1 species
CCUACGGGAGGCAGCAGUCGAGAAUCAUUCACAAUGGGGGAAACCCUGAUGGUGCGACGCCGCGUGGGGGAAUGAAGGUCUUCGGAUUGUAAACCCCUGUCAUGUGGGAGCAAAUUAAAAAGAUAGUACCACAAGAGGAAGAGAUGGCUAACUCUGUGCCAGCAGCCGCGGUAAUACAGAGGUCUCAAGCGUUGUUCGGAAUCACUGGGCGUAACGCGUGCGUAGGCUGUUUCGUAAGUCGUGUGUGAAAGGCGCGGGCUCAACCCGCGGACGGCACAUGAUACUGCGAGACUAGAGUAAUGGAGGGGGAACCGGAAUUCUCGGUGUAGCAGUGAAAUGCGUAGAUAUCGAGAGGAACACUCGUGGCGAAGGCGGGUUCCUGGACAUUAACUGACGCUGAGGCACGAAGGCCAGGGGAGCGAAAGGGAUUAGAUACCCGGGUAGUC